GACGAACGCUGGCGGCGUGCUUAACACAUGCAAGUCGAACAGAAAGGCCUCUGCUUGCAGGGGUGCUCGAGUGGCGAACGGGUGAGUAACACGUGGGUGAUCUGCCUUGUACUCUGGGAUAAGCUUGGGAAACUGGGUCUAAUACCGGAUAGGAACUGCCUUUAGUGUGGUGGUUGGAAAGUUUUUUCGGUGCAAGAUGAGCUCGCGGCCUAUCAGCUUGUUGGUGGGGUAAUGGCCUACCAAGGCGUCGACGGGUAGCCGGCCUGAGAGGGUGUACGGCCACAUUGGGACUGAGAUACGGCCCAGACUCCUACGGGAGGCAGCAGUGGGGAAUAUUGCACAAUGGGCGGAAGCCUGAUGCAGCGACGCCGCGUGGGGGAUGACGGCCUUCGGGUUGUAAACUCCUUUCGACAGGGACGAAGCUUUUUGUGACGGUACCUGUAUAAGAAGCACCGGCCAACUACGUGCCAGCAGCCGCGGUAAUACGUAGGGUGCGAGCGUUGUCCGGAAUUACUGGGCGUAAAGAGCUCGUAGGUGGUUUGUCGCGUCGUCUGUGAAAUUCCGGGGCUUAACUCCGGGCGUGCAGGGCGAUACGGGCAUAACUUGAGUGCUGUAGGGGAGACUGGAAUUCCUGGUGUAGCGGUGAAAUGCGCAGAUAUCAGGAGGAACACCGAUGGCGAAGGCAGGUCUCUGGGCAGUUACUGACGCUGAGGAGCGAAAGCAUGGGUAGCGAACAGGAUUAGAUACCCUGGUAGUCCAUGCCGUAAACGGUGGGCGCUAGGUGUAGGGGGCUUCCACGUCUUCUGUGCCGUAGCUAACGCAUUAAGCGCCCCGCCUGGGGAGUACGGCCGCAAGGCUAAAACUCAAAGGAAUUGACGGGGGCCCGCACAAGCGGCGGAGCAUGUGGAUUAAUUCGAUGCAACGCGAAGAACCUUACCUGGGCUCGACAUACACCAGAUCGCUGCAGAGAUGUAGUUUCCCUUGUGGUUGGUGUACAGGUGGUGCAUGGUUGUCGUCAGCUCGUGUCGUGAGAUGUUGGGUUAAGUCCCGCAACGAGCGCAACCCUUGUCUUAUGUUGCCAGCAUUUGGUUGGGGACUCAUGAGAGACUGCCGGGGUUAACUCGGAGGAAGGUGGGGAUGACGUCAAAUCAUCAUGCCCCCUAUGUCCAGGGCUUCACACAUGCUACAAUGGUCGGUACAACGCGCGGCGACACUGUGAGGUGGAGCGAAUCGCUGAAAGCCGGUCUUAGUUCGGAUUGGGGUCUGCAACUCGACCCCAUGAAGUCGGAGUCGCUAGUAAUCGUAGAUCAGCAAUGCUGCGGUGAAUACGUUCCCGGGCCU
rnacentral:rRNA from 1 species